GCUGGGUGUGGUGGUGCAUGCCUGUAAUCCCAGCUACUUGGGAGGCUGAGGCAAGAGAAUCGCUUGAACCCAGGAGGUGGAGGUUGCAGUGAGCCAAGAUCAUGCCACUGCACUCCAGCCUGGGCGACAGAGCGAGACUCUGUCUCUG
rnacentral:SRP_RNA from 1 species